GGAGUUGUGGCUCAGUGGUAGAGCACUUGUCUACCAUGCAUGAGGCAUUGGGUUCGAUCCCUGGUACCA
rnacentral:tRNA from 1 species